rnacentral:lncRNA from 1 species
GAACACUACUGACAAGAUCUGUUUGACCAAGUAUGGUCUCUGAGGUUCCUGUCUUCUCCAUAGAUGGGAUGCAGAUGACAGCUUGAGCACUUGAGAAAUCGGACAGGUCAGCUUCUGAAGAUGACUGGCUCUUCCUGAAGAGGUUGUUGAUCAAAGGGCAACUGGUACCACUUUCCUUUGCUCCUCAUGCCGCUGCAAAAUCUCCCAGUAUUUGUACUGCCUCCUCCUUCCAUGAAAGCUGUUCUCAUACAAGAAAAUUAUUGAUGCCAAGAGAUGUGCGUCAUCUUCCUGCGCGUGGCUCCGCUGCCAGUCCUAAGCCAAUACCCCACGCCUUACAGCCGUUACCACUUCUUCUUGAUGUCCAUGCUAUGCUUUCCAGGUUCCAAGGCAAUAUGGAAGAUGCUCCAAAUAUCA